rnacentral:rRNA from 1 species
CUGGAGGUAUCAGAAGUGCGAAUGCUGACAUAAGUAACGAUAAAGCGGGUGAAAAGCCCGCUCGCCGGAAGACCAAGGGUUCCUGUCCAACGUUAAUCGGGGCAGGGUGAGUCGACCCCUAAGGCGAGGCCGAAAGGCGUAGUCGAUGGGAAACGGGUUAAUAUUCCCGUACUUGGUGUUACUGCGAAGGGGGGACGGAGAAGGCUAUGUUGGCCGGGCGACGGUUGUCCCGGUUUAAGCGUGUAGGUGUGUGUUCCAGGUAAAUCCGGUUCACUUUAACACUGAGGCGUGAUGACGAGGCACUACGGUGCUGAAGCAACAAAUGCCCUGCUUCCAGGAAAAGCCUCUAAGCAUCAGGUAACAUCAAAUCGUACCCCAAACCGACACAGGUGGUCAGGUAGAGAAUACCAAGGCGCUUGAGAGAACUCGGGUGAAGGAACUAGGCAAAAUGGUGCCGUAACUUCGGGAGAAGGCACGCUGACACGUAGGUGAAGUGAUUUACUCAUGGAGCUGAAGUCAGUCGAAGAUACCAGCUGGCUGCAACUGUUUAUUAAAAACACAGCACUGUGCAAACACGAAAGUGGACGUAUACGGUGUGACGCCUGCCCGGUGCCGGAA